GUUGGGGACAGGAAAGUCCCCUGGCACUGUGGCACCAAGAGGAAGAAGAUGCUCCAGCUGUGCAGAUGCUGCAGUAAAACGAGGGAAACUGAGGCACAGGGCUAAUCGCUGUGGAUGCCUGAGGGAUGCACGCACUCCAGACCCUGGGAGCAGCGGGAGAAGGGAGAAUCCAGCCUGCGCCAGCCCUGCCAGGGGCAUCACGGUGGGAUUUGAGCCCUGCUGGCUGCUCGGAGGAUAUGGUCACCCCAGACUGCUGCAUGGACCCAGCGCCUUUUGAGACCCUGGAUUUUUGGCUGAGAAGGUGUUUGGUGCAGAAAGUCUCAUCUGCUGAGGGAGCCCUUCACCUUCUUGCUGCAACCAGAGGUCACCACAGCCAGAGCAGUGCACCCAGCUGGGGUGAAAUCAGGCAAGUUCUCUCACUGCUGGACUUCUGAGGUGGAGAAACUGGUCACCCUCCAGUCCCACGAGGAGCUCUUCACAAUCUGGACCU